rnacentral:lncRNA from 1 species
UUAAUAGUAUUUAUCAUGAUGCCAUAACAUAUUUCAACUAUAAUCUUACUCAUUUUUAUCAUGAUGCCAUAACAUCUUUUAGCUAUGGUCUUACUCUUUUUAGGCGUAUAGCCUUCGAUCAGACCUAUGGCCUAACCAUGAUCUUUCUUAGGUACUUUUCUCGUAGCAUUCUAUCCAUUCCUCCAUUUCACCAUUCCUAAACUUGAUGCUCGAACACCGCAAUGUCCCCUCCGCAAGGCUUAGAGCUUCGCCCUUGUCCAUAACAACUUAGCUUGUC